rnacentral:rRNA from 1 species
GGUAACGGAAGCGCCGAUGGAGGGGGAUAACUACUGGAAACGGUAGCUAAUACCGCAUAACGUCGCAAGACCAAAGAGGGGGACCUUCGGGCCUCUUGCCAUCGGAUGUGCCCAGAUGGGAUUAGCUAGUAGGUGGGGUAACGGCUCACCUAGGCGACGAUCCCUAGCUGGUCUGAGAGGAUGACCAGCCACACUGGAACUGAGACACGGUCCAG